rnacentral:lncRNA from 1 species
UUCAUCCUAAUGCACUGUAACAAUUUGGCAUGUCUUGUAAGAUGUUGCUUAUGCAAACAGCAGGAGUCCCAAUUCAUAUAUAAUUUGGUUAGGAGGACUGCUUAUCAUUUCUGCUCAAAGUUCUUGAUUCCUAUGAAGUUGCAUGAGUGGACACGAAACUGGAAAUAGCACUUGACAACCUGCUUGUUUCCAAGUAAGAAUCAG